rnacentral:rRNA from 1 species
UACGUAGGGUGCGAGCGUUAAUCGGAAUACUGGGCGUAAAGCGUGCGCAGGCGGUUUGUUAAGUCCGCUGUGAAAGCCCCGGGCUCAACCUGGGAACUGGCGGUGGAAACUGGCGAGCUAGAGUGUGUCAGAGGGGGUGGAAUUCCACGUGUAAGCAGUGAAAUGCGUAGAGAAUGUGGAGGAACACCAAUGGCGAAGGCAGCCCCCUGGGAUAACGACUGACGCUCAUGCACGAAAGCGUGGGGAGCAAACAGG